rnacentral:rRNA from 1 species
UACGUAGGGUGCAAGCGUUAAUCGGAAUUACUGGGCGUAAAGCGUGCGCAGGCGGUUUGGUAAGUCUGACGUGAAAUCCCCGGGCUCAACCUGGGAAUUGCGUUGGAGACUGCAAGGCUAGAAUCUGGCAGAGGGGGGUAGAAUUCCACGUGUAGCAGUGAAAUGCGUAGAGAUGUGGAGGAACACCGAUGGCGAAGGCAGCCCCCUGGGUCAAGAUUGACGCUGAGGAGCGAAAGCAUGGGGAGCGAACAGG